rnacentral:rRNA from 1 species
CGGGUUGUAAACCUUCUUUCGCCAGGGACGAAGCGCAAAGUGACGGUACCUGGAUAAGAAGCACCGGCUAAACUACGUGCCAGCAGCCGCGGUAAUACGUAGGGUGCAAGCGUUGUCCGGAAUUAUUGGGCGUAAAAGAGCUCGUAGGCGGUUUGUCGCGUCGUUUCGUGAAAAUCCACGCUUAACGUGGAGCGUGCGGGCGAUACGGGCAGACUUGAGUUCGGUAGGGGAGACUGGAAUUCCUGGUGUAGCGGUGAAAUGCGCAGAUAUCAGGAGGAACACCGGUGGCGAAGGCGGGUCUCUGGGCCGAUACUGACGCUGAGGAGCGAAAGCGUGGGGAGCGAACAGGAUUAGAUACCCUGGUAGUCCACGCUGUAAACGUUGGGCGCUAGGUGUGGGCGACAUCCACGUUGUCCGUGCCGUAGCUAACGCAUUAAGCGCCCCGCCUGGGGAGUACGGCCGCAAGGCUAAAACUCAAAGGAAUUGACGGGGGCCCGCACAAGCGGCGGAACAUGUGGAUUAAUUCGAUGCAACGCGAAAAACCUUACCUGGGCUUGACAUGCGCCAGACAUCCCUAGAAAUAGGGCUUCCCUUGUGGUUGGUGUAACAGGUGGUGCAUGGCUGUCGUCAGCUCGUGUCGUGAAAUUUUGGGUUAAUUCCCGCAACGAGCGCAANCCCUUAUCCUACCUUUGCCAGCGCGUUAUUGCGGGAACUCGUGGGAAACUUGCCGGGGUUAACUCCGAAGGAAGGUGGGAAUGAAGUCAAGUCAUCAUGCCCCUUAU